rnacentral:tmRNA from 1 species
GGGGUCGAUUUGGUUUUGACAGCAAGACCUAUUGGAGAGUAAGCACGUCGAGCAUUGGAAUGUGGCUCGUAAAUAUCAUGUUUCAUCCUUUUUUAAACGGCGAGAAUAACUACGCCUUAGCUGCGUAAUCUGAAUUAUAGUAGGAUACGCUUAAUCCCGACAAGGUCGGGAGCUAAGAUGUCUCCGGAAAGCCUUGAUUUAUGGCGUUCCAUCAGGAGGCACCGGUAAAAUAAAUCUAGAAAUGUUAUGGUCUCGAUAGCAUUUUGAAAUUUAAGAGACUAGAUAUAAAGUAGGUUGUAUCUUGCCAGCUUUAUAUCGAAAUUCAAGUUGAUACUAAGCGUGUAGAAAGCUGUUUAAUAGCUUGUUUGGACGGGAGUUCGAGUCUCCCCGACUCCACU